UGACAAUGGCUGCUCGCGGCGUGGGGCUCCUGACCCGCUUGCCCCUGUGUUCCCAGAGAAGGAGCCGAGUCCCGCACUCUAUUUCCAGGCACCUCAGUUGUCCAGGAACCAGAGUCGCGAGCGUCGGGAGCGAAGAACAGCCUUCGGGGGGUGCGGAAACAGGCACUGAAGACAAGACCCUCCAAAAGAAAUUCUCUGAGGUGCAGAAAGAGAGAAGAGAACAGGCCCAGCGGACUGUUUUGAUACAUUGUCCAAAUAAUAUCAAUGAGAAAAAGUUUCUCAAGUAUCUGUCCCAGCAUGGAUCCAUCAGUAAUCAUUUCUUCUACGAGAGCUUUGGUCUCUAUGCUGUUGUAGAAUUUUGCCAAAAAGACAGUAUAAACUCUCUGCAGAAUGGAACACAUACUCCAACCCAGAGCACAGAGGCUGCAAUUCCAUUUAAGUCACGUUUCCUGAACUUAAAGCUGAAGAAUCCAUCUAACCAAGUAUCUGGACAAUCGUUUGUACAAGCAGACAGCCAGUCACCUCCUUCAAGCAAGAAACUCUUUGAAUUGCUGAGUUACGCAGAAAGCCUAGAUAGACGCCCAGCUGACCGCUCUUCUGAAGGCCUUCCAGCUCACGGAGGAGAAUGUCAGGCUCCGCCAUCUCACCUGCUCUCUGAUCGAGGACAUCGCCGCUGCCUAUUUUCCCAGCUGUGUCGUCUGGCCCUUUGGCUCCUCAGUGAACACGUUUGGCAAAUUAGGAUGUGAUUUGGACAUGUUUUUAGAUUUAGACGAAACUGGAAAUCUCAGUGAUCACAAGGUAACAAGUAUCUCUUUGCACCACUAUAAA
rnacentral:lncRNA from 1 species